GCCAGCAUGGCCUUGUGGUUUGAGCACUCGACUAUGACUGGAGACUAGGGUUCAAAUCCCAGUUCGGUCA